CAGAACUAAAGAUUUAUUCAGACAGCGGCCUUAUAAAGCAUGUUACCAUGCAAGGGAGGGAUUUCCAUUCAUUAUUACAGUAGCCAAUCCUGUUCCGGUAACCUCCCACACAUCCCCUCCCCUCAGCCUGCAUCAUAAUCCCCUUAUCCAGGACACCAAUUCCCCCUGUUUCUGGAUGUACCCCUAAACCUAGGGGUACCACUUUAAAUUAUACAACCA